CUUGGAAUACUAUAAGGGUUAAAGAGAAUGCAACCUGACUGAAACUAAACCCUAUCUUAAACUAGUUCCCCUGAGAAUGCAACCUAAGAUCCCUUCUUUGUUAUGUAUCUCCUUUUAUUAUGGAUGGUAUAUAUAACUAAAUGCAAGAAAUAAGUUUUUUACAAUGAAAACCUAAGAUUUCGGGAGAGUUUCCGAUGAGUAUCAGCAG
rnacentral:lncRNA from 1 species